GACGAACGCUGGCGGCGUGCUUAACACAUGCAAGUCGAACGGAAGGGCCCUGCUUUUGUGGGGUGCUCGAGUGGCGAACGGGUGAGUAACACGUGAGUAACCUGCCCUUGACUUUGGGAUAACUUCAGGAAACUGGGGCUAAUACCGGAUAGGAGCUCCUGCUGCAUGGUGGGGGUUGGAAAGUUUCGGCGGUUGGGGAUGGACUCGCGGCUUAUCAGCUUGUUGGUGGGGUAGUGGCUUACCAAGGCUUUGACGGGUAGCCGGCCUGAGAGGGUGACCGGCCACAUUGGGACUGAGAUACGGCCCAGACUCCUACGGGAGGCAGCAGUGGGGAAUAUUGCACAAUGGGCGGAAGCCUGAUGCAGCAACGCCGCGUGCGGGAUGACGGCCUUCGAGUUGUAAACCGCUUUCGCCUGUGACGAAGCGUGAGUGACGGUAAUGGGAAAAGAAGCACCGGCUAACUACGUG
rnacentral:rRNA from 1 species